AACGACGCGAGCUCUGCGAGCGGUUGGAAGCCCAAUCCAAAGCUGCGGGGCGAUGAACAAAAACCGGAUAUGAGGCGUGAUGCAUCCGGGGCGAGCGGGCACGUGACCGCGAAGCCCGCCAUCUGCGGCUGGGGUGCAUUUUGUAAAUCCGGCGUCCACGCAGCGAAGGUAACGCGU
rfam:Candidatus Accumulibacter sp. SK-11 contig000002, whole genome shotgun sequence.